AGUUGCCAACUUUUUAUGUAAGUGAUUAAAUAAAUUUACGCUUAACAUAUUUUUAAGUUUUAAGCAGUUAAAGCAGAUCUCAAUAAUUUCUUAUUUAAUUUGUUAAUUACGGUUAAUCUAAUAUAUACAUAUGAACAUAUUGUGGCCUCCUGUCGGUAUAAAACAUGUUAUAAAAAUAAUAACAUGAACAUUUUUUGGUGUAACCACAAAAUACAUAUUACGUUAGAUAAAAAUAUUUUAAUAGUUUUGUUUAGAAGUGGAUGAUUUACAUAAAAUAAUAGUAAAGUGUGAACAAAGUUUUAUAAACAAGUAAAUGCCAACCCAAAUGAAAAAAAAAAAUAAAAUAUUUCCAGCUGAUUAGCUUACAUAACCUCCACCAUUCUUUUCAAAACAAACUAGAAUUUUUUGGAAUCAUGAUAUCGGCGGUACGUAAUAUGUUAUUGGAGCGGGUCUCUGUUGCCUUAUCCCUGCCUCGUACUACAUCGGUGCUAUAUAGCACAGAAACUGCUGCCAGCAGUGCGCAUACCAAACAAAAUAUUGAAACUUCUGCUAUUAAUGAAAUUGCUGGCGAGAAGGAUCAACUAUUUAGUAAACUAGAAAUUGAGUUACGUGGAGUUGAUCCAGCAGUGCUCAAAAGUUAUGCCUGGUUUGCAACGACGGCGGCAAGCCAUUUAAAUAUUGAAGUAGGCAAAAGUUGGGCUGAGCGUAAAGCACAUCACGAUCGUUUGACUCUAUUAAAAUCGGUGCACAUUUAUAAAAAACAUCGUGUACAAUAUGAGGUGCGCACCUAUUUUCGUUACAUAAAUUUUCACAAAAUGACGGGAUCAACAUUAGACACUUUCCUGGAGUACAUUGAACGCAAUUUACCAGAAGGUGUUGCUUUAAAUGCAACUAAAACAGAGCUACAAGAAAUUCCUGAACAUUUGAGACAGCAACCAAGUGAAGUUUAAUUUAUUCGAAUUCGAAUUGUUUUAGUUAUUUAAACUUUAUUUACAAAAUAUAAUAUUUAAUAUGGUCAUAUUUCGUUAAUGAUAUGGUAUUUUGUACAUAUUGUGAAUUGAUGUGUUAUCUUAUACCCUGUUAUAAUAGCGAAAUAUCUGUUUUUCAUCACAUAGUUAUUAAAGCGUAACCCUAAUUACAGGGUAUAUUAAGUUUGCCACAAUGUUUGUUAGACUUAAAAAGAAACGUUGGAGAUCAUAUUAAGGAUAUACAUAUGUAUAUAUAAAUGAUCAGCUUAACGGGCUGAGUAGAUUUUGCUGUGUCCGUCUGUUUGAUCGUCUCAUAUACGCGAAUUCGUCACUCAGUUUUUGAGAUAUCGAUCUGAAAUUUUGUACACGUCCCUGUCUCAUUUGUCAGAACCGCAGAUAUCGGACAACUAUUGCAUAUAGCUGCCAUACAAACAGAACGAUCAAACUCAUAUCUUUGUAUGGAAAACUUUUUUAUUUGACAAGGUAUCAUCCUGAAAUUUGCAAUAGAUUAUCAUCCAAGACACAACUACAAUUUUCUAAAAUCUUUUUCAGUAGUCAUAUAGCUGUCAUUUAAACUGAUACCAUUUUUUAUGAAAAAUGCACCUGUGAAGGGUAUUCUAGAUUCAGUGCAGGCGAAGUUACGUUAUUUCUUGUUUUGUUCUCCAAAUAUAUAAAUAGCUGCCUCUGUGGGUGCAAUGGUUAAUGAUAUACAUAUGUAUAAUCGAGAAGGGAGUGGGUUGUUGUUGCUGUGGGGAGACCUGACACGGUUUAAAAUUAGUUACUUGUGACUAGUUUAGAACUCAUUUAAUUUGAAUUUAACACCAUUGAUAAAGUCGGCUUAUCUCAGAGAAAUGUUUUUAUUUUCUUUACGUAAAUUCGAUAAUGUAUUGUAUAAGAAUUUGCGAAAUGACUUCAAUAAAUUGAGGUUUGUGAUGUUCAGUAACGCUUCAGUUGUUGCAGGCGAUAAGACGUUAGCUGCAAGAAGGAUUUAGUAAGCUGCAUUAUCAUAAAAAAUAUAUAUACUAACUAACAAUCAAGAUGAGCUGGGUUAUAUUCUUGGCAAUUGUUGUACUCUUGCAAACCAUUCGGAAUGCUGAGUGUUUGUAUGAAGACACUAUUUUGAACUUUUUGGAACAAUUACGUGUACGUAUGUGUCAUCCUAUACCACAGUUAGGAUUGCCAGCCUUGGAUCCUUUUCAAAUCCAGCAUGUCGAAACAGAAAUGAAUAACAAAUAUUUAGUAGAGUAAGAACGUUGUGAAAUGCAUACUAUUCUGCUUUACUAAUCGGCUCAUACACAAUAUUUGCAGUUUCACAGGCUCUGUCACUGAUUUCAACCUAACAGGAUUAUCAGAUUUUGAUGUAGACUUGCGUAUUUCUACAAUACGAAAAUCAAAAAUUGAUAUCACUUUUCCAAUGACAGAGCUUACAUCCAUUUACACUGCUAAAGGAUCUUUGGCCUAUAUAUUGAAUUUGGCUGGUGAUGGCAACGCACAAGCACAUAUAAAAACCUUAAAUUUGCAAAUAUCAUUCAAUUUGGGCAUCGGAAAAUUCCUUAGCAUUAGAAAUUUGAGUAUUACGAUUACAGUUGGUGAGAUAUAUAUGGAUUUUGAAAAUUUGCUUGAGGAGGAACGUAUAAAUAAUUUUUGGCAUGCUUUAGUCAACGAACUAGGCUUGGAACUUUUGGGGGAACUUUGGAUUGAUGAAAAGGACUUUGUAGAGCAAUAUAUACAAGUGCGAAUUAACACUUUUAUUGGCCAAUACACUCUAGCUGAUAUUAUAAAGAUAAUUGGUGGUAGCGGUGAGGGAGAUCCUAUAUUUGGUAGUGGACCCCCAGGUGAUUGCAAAGAUGAUAUUACCUUCAAUUAAACUAUUAUCGAAAAAAAAACCUGACAAGACUGAAAUAACAAACAAAAGCUUUUUAUCAAGCAGUGGUCAUAAAUUUCGCUAUGAAACUCACAAUAUGCACGAUUGUGGGCAAUAUUUAUAAUUCAUUUUUAAUCUACUUAAGAUAAGUAUAUUAAUCUAUAUAAAUCCGAAAAUAUGAUUAGAUUGUCAACAUUA